AUCCAGCUGAUGAGUUCCAAACGAGACGAAACGGAUGUCCUGUGU
rnacentral:hammerhead_ribozyme from 1 species